GCAUGCACUCAUGGUUGGGCCCUGUCAUACUUCUCGGCUAGCGGCAUAUACAUAGGCUGUAUUAUAUAGUAGGUAUGGCUGAACCGUGAUGAACCAUAAUCAAAUUGAUUCAUAAAUCUGGUAAAGGUAUACAUCAAAAGAUGCACGACUUCAAGAAAGGAAGUGAAAAAGGAUGUCUUCUGCUAUGGUGUGUAUAAUGUUGUUUAAUGGAAGGGGCAGACGCUUUGUUCUUCCCUAUGCUAGACUGUGAGGCACUUACAAUGGCUCGAUACAGAUGGCUUCCGCCUUUCUCUGCCGGUAGUAUGCUUAAUUGUGAGGCUGAUUCUUGGGAUUAAACUAAUCACGGAGAUUUGUUCGGGCAUUUGUGCGCCUGGCUGUGAUUAAUCAUGGACUAAAAGAUGAGCCCACAGAUCACCACUCCCGGUGCGGCUCCAUGUAUACCAUCAGAUCAUCAGUAAUACUGUAUUCUUUUCUGUACUUUUUUUGUCCCUCCUGUAUACUCUGUAACAUGGUUGCACAACUCAUAACAAAUGGAUGGUUAUAGAGAGCCAGGAAGAGAACACUAAAUGGUUUUUGAAGGAUCUACAUCGGCCUGUUCAGCCGGCCUGAACAAUGUUUUUUUUU